rnacentral:lncRNA from 1 species
CGUCGUUUGUUAGUUCAAACGAUGCAUUUCUUUCUAACUUGAACAUUAAAAUCAAUUAUCUAAACGUGUUCUUGCUUGUCAUAACUCAAAACAUUGUCUAAAAUUACUCAAAAUUUGAAUCCCGUCUAAACAAACGAUGCAUUUGUUUCUACUUCUGUUACGUUUAAGAAACUAUAACAAACGGUACACAACGUUUGCCAAACUUUGGUUAGAAAGAAAUGCACUCUUGAUCUCUUGAUAGAUAUAUGUAAAGUUGUAAACUGUUUUAGAAAAAGUAUCACUCCAGGGGAUUGCAAUUCUACUUUGGGUCAAAUUUUGGGGAAAUAUGUGACAUCUUUCUUUGCCCUCUUUUUGCCCUCUUUUUUGGCAAAUACAUACAGGUUGUUGCCAUACAGCAAAAAAGAAAAUAAAUAUCUUUAACCAUUCAACGGUAACACUUAAUGCCCACUCCGAAGCGUCAGGGAAUAAAAAAAUCGGACGUUUUUAUACAAAAAACAGUGCAAUUCCCGAUUAUCCCUACGACCCAUAUACGAUCAGGUCGAUCUGGUCUGGUCGAGAUCAGGCUUAGAUCGUGAAUAGUUGAUUUGGUCUAGCUAGUCGAGUAAAGAUCGUAUAAGGAUCGUGAAUCGAUCGUAAUUAUCGAAUAAGUAUUCAGUUUGUUGUCGGGAUGGAGUCUUGAUGGAGUCAUUAAGGAGUCGUAAAUGGUCGAGUUAGGUCGUGUAUAGUCGGAUGGCGGUCGGGUAGAAGUCGUAAACAGGCCCGAUCAAGAAUUUGGUUGAGCUUGGUCGUGGAGAUUUUGACAAUCGGGAUCAUCGAGUUGAUCUGAUCGGCAGUGUGAACCUAGCUUAGGCCCAGUCCCACUAGACCACGAUCGCACCAAGCUCACUGCGAUCUAAAAUAAAUUUAGAUCGUGGUGAGGUCGCGGUAUGAGCGGCAUAAGAAUGUAAAUUUUCGUUGCUUUCACGAUGCUACUACGUCCUCAUUACGUACUAUGGUCGUGAACAGCGUGGUAUAGACGUAGUGGAAGCGUAGUUGGGUCGCAGUGAGAACGUGAUAGUCGUAGUGAGGUCGUAAUAACGUCGCUGUGAGAUCGUAGCGCAGUUUCUCCGAAUAGAAUCACGCUUUCACUACGCUCUUGCUACGAUAGUACAGCGACCUUUGCGAUCUUACUACGAUCUUAGUGCGCUCUCACUACGCUUCUACUACGACCUGAUUUCGACACGACCGCACCACGAUUGUUUUGAACAUGUUAAAAGUUGGCCUCGCUCAUCACGAUCUUGAAGAACUCACCACGACCGUGACACGACCUUUCUACGCUCUACACGAUCGUACUACGAUCAUCAAAAUUAUCAUUUUUUUCACUGAUCGUAGUACGAUCGUGGCCUAGUG